rnacentral:rRNA from 1 species
AUUGAACGCUGGCGGCAUGCUUUACACAUGCAAGUCGAACGGUAACAGGUUAAGCUGCCGGGUGGCGAACGGGUGAGUAAUGCAUCGGAACGUGCCCGAUCGUGGGGGAUAACGCAGCGAAAGCUGCGCUAAUACCGCAUACGACCUGAGGAUGAAAGCGGGGGACCGUAAGGCCUCGCGCGAUCGAGGCGGCCGAUGUCAGAUUAGGUAGUUGGUGGGGUAAAGGCUCACCAAGCCAACGAUUGGUAGCUGGGGUGAGCGGACGACCAGCCACAUUGGGACUGAGUAACGGCAAAAAGUCCUACAGGAGGUAGCAGUGGGGAAUUUUGGACAAUGGGCGAAAGACUGAUCCAGCAAUGCCGCGUGCAUGAAGAAGGCCUUAGGGUUGUAAGCGGCUUUGGUACGGAGCGAAAAGGCUCUCUCUAAUACAGUGGGCCCAUGACGGUACCGUAAGAAUAAGCACCGGCUAACUACGUGCCAGCCGCCGCCGUAA